CUGCUAUAUUGUUGCCGUGGUGUACCGGUCCGCUCCGCCAGCUGGCGGAUAGCGAGAUAAGGUGCAAAAAAGGGAAUCCCGUGCAAAUCGGGAGCUGUGCCGCAACUGUAAGUCCGAUGAACGUUGGACAAGCCAGGAGACCGACCACUUCAAAGAGAGUCUA
rnacentral:ncRNA from 2 species